rnacentral:rRNA from 1 species
GGGGAAAAAUUAAUAAAUUAUAAAUAAUAAAAAAAUUUUUAAUAUUGGGGGGUAUUGAAGUAUUUUUUUAAAAAAAAAUAAUUUAUUUUAUAGGAAAUUAGUAUUGAAAAAGAAAUUUGAAAUAAUUGAAAAUAAAUUAAUAAAAAAGUAAUUUUAAUUUAGUGUAUCUUGUGUAUCAGAGUUUAUUAAAAAAUAUUUUUUAAAAAGAAAAAUCUCGAAUUUAAAAGAGUUAAUUAAUUAUAAAAGUUAUUGUAGAAAAACUAUUUUAAAUAAUUAAUUUGAAAUGAAAUGUUAAUCGUUUUUAAAUAUAUCUAGUUAUUUUAGAAAAAAAUUUAAUUUAAAAUUUAAAAAAUUUUAUUAUUAAUUAUAUUUAAUAAUAAAAUAUUUAAAAUUAAAUAUAUUAAGGGAUAAGCUUUAAUAUAAAUUUUUAUAAUGGAAAAAAAUAUAAUAAAAAUUUUAAAAUUUAUAUUGUUUAAAAAUUAUAAUUUAUUAUAAAAAAUUUUAUUAAAAAUAAAAUUUAAUAAAAAAAUUUAAAUUUUUAUAAAAUAAUAAUUUAAAAUAAAAAUAAAUUAGUAAUAAUGAUAAAAUUAGUAUAUUAAAUUAAAAAUAAAAUUUAAAUAAUAAAAAUUAAAUUAAAGGAAUUCGGCAAAAUUUUAUAUUCACUUGUUUAUCAAAAACAUGUCUUUUAGAUAAUAAUUUAAAGUCUAAUCUGCCCACUGAUAAUUUAUUAAAGGGCUGCAGUAUAUUGACUGUACAAAGGUAGCAUAAUCAAUAGUCUUUUAAUUGAAGACUUGUAUGAAAGAUUUGAUGAGAUAUAAACUGUCUCUAAUUUAAUUAUAGAAUUUAAUUUUUUAGUUAAAAAGCUAAAAUAUUUUUAAAAGACGAGAAGACCCUAUAGAGUUUUAUAUUAAAAUUAUUUAAGAUUAUAUUUAUAAUUAAAAAUUAAAAGUGAAAUUAAUAUUUUGUUGGGGUGAUAAAAAAAUUAAAAUAACUUUUUUUAGUAAAAUACAUAAAUAAGUGAAUAAUUGAUCCAUUUUUUAUGAUUAAAAGAAAAAAUUACCUUAGGGAUAACAGCGUAAUAUUUUUUUUUAGUACAAAUAAGAAAAAAAGUUUGCGACCUCGAUGUUGGAUUAAGAUAAAAUUUAAAUGCAAAAGUUUAAAAUUUUGAUCUGUUCGAUCAUUAAAAUCUUACAUGAUCUGAGUUCAAACCGGUGUGAGCCAGGUUGGUUUCUAUCUUUAAAAUAAUAAAAUAUUUUAGUACGAAAGGAUCAAAUAUUUUUAAUAAUUAAAAUUUAAAGAAUUUUAUUAAUAUAAAGAUU